UACGUAGGUGGCAAGCGUUGUCCGGAAUUAUUGGGCGUAAAGCGCGCGCAGGCGGUCCUUUAAGUCUGAUGUGAAAGCCCACGGCUCAACCGUGGAGGGUCAUUGGAAACUGGGGGACUUGAGUACAGAAGAGGAAAGCGGAAUUCCACGUGUAGCGGUGAAAUGCGUAGAGAUGUGGAGGAACACCAGUGGCGAAGGCGGCUUUCUGGUCUGUAACUGACGCUGAGGCACGAAAGCGUGGGGAGCAAACAGG
rnacentral:rRNA from 1 species